AACGAACGCUGGCGGCAUGCCUAACACAUGCAAGUCGAACGAGACCCUCGGGUCUAGUGGCGCACGGGUGCGUAACGCGUGGGAACCUGCUUUUAGGCUCGGAAUAACCCCCCGAAAGGGGUGCUAAUACCGGAUAAUGUCUCCGGACCAAAGAUUUAUCGCCGUUGGAUGGGCCCGCGUUGGAUUAGCUAGUUGGUAGGGUAAAGGCCUACCAAGGCGACGAUCCAUAGCUGGUCUGAGAGGAUGAUCAGCCACACUGGGACUGAGACACGGCCCAGACUCCUACGGGAGGCAGCAGUGGGGAAUAUUGGACAAUGGGCGAAAGCCUGAUCCAGCAAUGCCGCGUGAGUGAUGAAGGCCUUAGGGUUGUAAAGCUCUUUUACCCGGGAUGAUAAUGACAGUACCGGAAGAAUAAGCUCCGGCUAACUCCGUG
rnacentral:rRNA from 1 species